UUUGGAUUUGCUGUUUGUUUUGUUUCGUUGUUUUGUUUUGUUUGGGGUUGGGAGAAUCAGAGUAUAUAUUCCGAUAGACCUCGAUUGCCUAACGUCUCAUACAGAGUACCAGCAGGAACCGGCGUGACUACUAACAUUAUUUUCCUUACGGUGCUUUUUGUCAUAAUCAUGGGACAACUGUUCACAUUCCGGGCAUCAUCUUGGAACACACAAUUUGGGGAAUGGGUUCAGAGUGACUCUAUGAAGACACUGAUUGGAACAUUAGCAGGGACGGACAGACUCACUAUGAGGAAACAAGCGCCAAGCAUCACAGCUUUCAUCUUCACAUCCAGGUCCAGCGGGAACUGGAUCCCGAAGUUAUCUGCAUCCGUGAAGGCCUCUCUCACAAAACCAGACCACUGCUUGGAAAUUUUGCCAACAACGGAUUCCUCAUCUAGAGAUUUGAGCUGCGUAGCAAAAGUAAAGUCAUAAACAUUUCCAAAAUCUAAAUGGCAAACAUAGCUUUCAGAGUCACAAUUUGAGAAAACAAAUAUUUGCCUUAAAUUAUAUAAAGUGGUAAGCAUCAGCAGAUUGAGCUAUUCAUUCUGUGCGAACAAAACUCAAGUUCUCUGGCUCCUGUUAAGACAGAUAAUAUAAAUUCUGACUCUCAAUGCAACACAAAUUUAAUAGAAGAAAAAUUAAAUGUUUUACUGAUACAUUGUCUUGAACCAUUGGGAAAAUGAUAAAUGCAACUACUGUUCAAAUACUCUUCAAGAAGCUUAGCAGAGGCUCACUGCCACCCAUGGGGUUUCCUGAAAUGCAAAAGCCCAGAAAGACCUAGAGACUAGCUAGUUAGUGGACCAGUACAACAGGAAGCUUCAGAGGAGGGUGCCAGGGAAGAAAGGAGGUAGGGAUGGGAAACUAGGGAAUAACAUUAGUAGGGUAUAAAGAAUACAAGAAGAGAGGCAUGUGAAGCCAAUGUGAAAAGAUUCUGAUUUAGGGGGCUCUGUGAGAGGAAAAACCAGGUAGUAGAACAGUAGAACAGAAUGGGUCCAAGCUAGACACUCCGUAGAGGGCACGUGGAUGUUCCCCAAGGUAGGAACACAUAGGCUUGUGUUCAAGGAGAAGGUGUAUCCUCUCCAAACCUGCAAAGGUCACCAAAGGUGGGAAUAGCCUCCUUCAAAGCCCUUGCCUCAGGCAGGAUCCACCAAGGAGACAAGGGACAUUUGAGGUAGUCACGACUGAUGUGGCUGGAGGAGGAUGGCACUUCAACGUGCUGAGGUCUACCACUACCAUAAACAAAGUCUUAGGUUACUGCUCAUAGAGCAGUCCUUGCAUUCCACACCCAGGCUAGGCACAGCACGCUUUCUGUUCCUUUAGGGUCAGGUUAGGUUGGGUGUCUAGGGUGUGACCGAGAACUUGGGUAUUUACCAUGGCCAACUGGCUUAGCCUGUAUAUGCAUCCAGUGAGCAGUAUCACACAACAAGAUGCUGUGGUCCCAGUCCUAGGAUGGGAGGUCACUGCAUGGUCCAAGUUAGAGCCAUCUAUACGAGCUUCAUCAAUACCCCAAAACUUGACUGACCUAAUGAUCAUAAUGGGAACACGUUGCUGUUUGUUUGAAGGCAUGAACCUUUACAGUUGUUUCAGAUGUUAAGAUAAGUGCUCUAAAACAUAUCCUCUCUUGAAAUAUCUGAAUGUCUUAGGUCCAGUAGCUGUCAUUUAAGCUUUUACAGUUGGUCAUCAAGGGCCACUUGAGUCAAGACUUAUAGAGGACAGGAGAUGCAAACAGUACUGAGCAAAUUGCCAAGUGGUUUACCACUGUUACAUUCCUGAUGUGGCACUUGUUUUAUAAAUCAGGAAAACUAAAAUGUUUUUUAAAAGACAUUGGUAGAAAAGUAUGAUAAUCUAUGAGGAAAGUUUCAGGAAUGGGUAGACCUUUCAAAAGAUCUUAGUGUCUACUGAUCCUUCCCAUUAUGAAAUGAGUUUGAACAGUGACCGGUCCUGAGAUGAACUGAGAUAAAGGCUGCCCAGGUCAUGUGACUGUUUUAGGCUACGUGAUCCCUGCUGGAUCACUGCAGUGAGAGAGCACAAGGUCACACUUCCGUGACUGACCCCUAAUAACAGGGCACCCGUGAUAGACAUUGUGAAGGGUGUGCAAGAAGAUGACUCACACCCACGCAGGAUGAGGUUAGCCCAUACUACUGGAAAUGAGACGUAAUUUACAUCCCAUGAAGUAUUAUGUCUGGAACCUUCUAUUACGUAUUUUCAAGCCAUUGUUUACUAUGGGUAAUGAAAGCUGUGAAAAGUAAAUCCUGGAAAAGAUGAGACUUUCAAACUAAUCACAGUGAAACUGUCAUUAAUGAAAUAUAAUAAUCUGUCUGCAUUUGGAUUCAUAUAAAUAAGAUGUCAUAUAAAUAAA
rnacentral:sRNA from 1 species